UACAGAGGUGGCAAGCGUUGUUCGGAAUUACUGGGCGUAAAGGGCGCGUAGGCGGUCUUGUAAGUCUUGUGUGAAAUCCCUCGGCUUAACUGAGGAACUGCACGGGAUACUGCGAGACUUUGAGAUCGGGAGAGGGAAGCGGAAUUCCGGGUGUAGCGGUGAAAUGCGUAGAUAUCCGGAGGAACACCGGUGGCGAAGGCGGCAUCCUGGACCAACACUGACGCUGAGUGAGCGAAAGCCAGGGGAGCAAACGGGG
rnacentral:rRNA from 1 species